rnacentral:lncRNA from 1 species
ACGGUAUCUGGUCUCCCCUCCAAAGGCGAUCCAAGAGGGCAAGGUGGAAGCCACACUUUCAUGCCUGGCCUCAGACAUCACACAUCCUCACUCCACAGUGUAUUGGUCACAUGGAUCAAUCCCAUGCUGUGUGGGAGGGACGUACACAAAGGUAUGAAUACCACAAGGUGGGGACUGCCAGGGUCCCCAAGGAGGCUGGGCUCUUGGCCCCGCCAGGCCCCCCUCCUGUUUCCAGGAAAGGUGGCCCACCUUGCCCGCUACCUGGCUUCCUCAGCCUGCUUUCUGCCCCUGGGAUUUCAGAGGUCUGAAGACGCUGCAAGGUUUUGUGCUGGGUCUCUUCCAGUCCAAGCUGGCAGUGUCACUGCAAAUAUAAUUACUCAGAGCACCUUCUGUUUCCCACAGGUCCUGUCGCACCCCAACUCACAAAAGCUUCACCCACAGACCUCUUUGAGCUUCUGUUGGGACUACUGAGGGACAUGCUCAGUCAGAGACUUACUGGAUUACUAACAACUUUCGCUUCUGAAAAGCCUUAUCAAGCUCGCUGUCUGAGUGGUCCUCUCAGGAGCCCCCUCAGGCCUUUCUGAGGUCUUAAAAGAUUCCAUAGCCACAAACUCAGCCCUGCACUGUCAUUUCCACAAUGCCAUGCCUUACGCAGGCCUGAUGGGUUUGAGAGGGAACUGCAUGAGGCCAUGACAUCAGGAGGCCAAUGUGGAGCCUGCCUGCCUCACUCCGAGCUUGCUUCCUUCCUCUGAGGGCAGUUACUCUUCUGGCACAGAGGUAACUUGUUUUCUCUAGCCAACCCACACUAGGACUGUGUUAACUAAGUCAAGCCUAAAGGAGGUUGAGUCCGUAGCUGAGGUUGGGACGACUGAGGGACAGUGAGUUCAGGGAAGGGAGGAACGUGAGCAUCUCAGAUGGAAGCUGAUGGCUUUACAGGACCUACCCUGUUUCCUUCUUAGCUCAGGAGAUGUGCAAUUAAGGAAUUCCAUCCAUUCUAGGGCUUCCAGCUGCCUUCCCCGGCCCUUGGCUUGGACGGGCUCACCAAAACCUGCGCAGAGGGAGAGGGGUCUGGAGGGCCUGUCAAGAAAUCUAGUCAGAUUCCCUCAGUGCUGGUCACAGGGGCAAAAGGCACUGCACUGUGAACAGUAGCAGUUACAGUAAGACCAAAGAACCGUAUGUCAUACAAUACAAUUAACCACUGCCCAGCAAUUAGAACAAUGAAAUUAUGAUGAUUAUAUUUCAAUUAAAAAGUAGAAAUUUUUGAAAAUUUUAAUAAAUUUGAAAUUUAUUCCAGCACCAGUUUACCUAGGGAGGACAUUUUUCAAGCCCAGGGUCCAGGCCAGGGCUGUGUUCCAGAGGAAUCACCAAACAGUGUUGCUCAGUCAGGGACUUACUGGAUUA